CAGUCGCACACUUCAGAGAAUAAAUGAUAAAUGUCUUUAUCAAGCCCUAAAAGGUUCCAGGCUCUUAGUUAAAUCUCUCCUGGAUCAGGAAAAGACCUGGAAAGGGAAGAGGAUUCUCUAUAGAAUAUAGUUUCCACAUGACAGACAGCUGUGCAGGGCCGUUUCAAAAUAUGUCAAAGAAAUACAUUUUGGGGUAAAAUACUUUGAUUUCUUUCAGGGCCUGCCAUCUGUCAUGCGAUGCUAUACUAGAGACAGCUUCCCACUGAAUUAUCGUUCCUUGAAAGAUAUUUUGAAGAAUAUUGCUGGGUUUUUAUAAUCCCAGCCACACACAAUUUCCCAACCACUCAAAGCCAAAUAAUGGUAACAACAACACAAAAAAUCAAUUUACAAUUUAAAAUAAUUGACACCACUGACCAAACAUCUGCAUUUGCAUCUCUGGGGCUGCCGCAGUCCUGGAACUGUCCUUUACGGCUCUGCUUUCUCCUGACCUUGUCCUGGGCUCUCUUUCAGCUCCCUCUGGCCAGGUCCAGCAGUACUUGUCUCUUAAGAGCCAUGUAAUGACUCUGACCUGAAUAGACCCAGCUACCUAAAUUCUUUCCUUCUUUUCUCUGUAUUUCAACCUUUCUCCCAGGCUAUCUGCUCCAGGUUCUAAAUGUUCUCUGCCAUUUAAACAAUUGCCUGGUGAACAAUGAUUAAUUUAAUGAGGAGUCAGGAUGGCUCAGGGCCAGAAAAACAAUCACUCGUGGCUCUCUGGUCAACUCCAAUUACGUCUGCUAAUGAAAGAGAGAAAUGAUUUUUAAAAAUCCCAAACCAUGAAGUUAUGGAGGUUCCAGCUGGAGACUGCUUUGGAUUUUUUGUGAUUGGAUUUUUUAAAUCCAAAGAGGACCCCGCUUGUGGCCAUUUCAGCCUAAGGGCCAUUAUGGAAUCUAACUGACUUUCAAAGCCUCAUCCACUCAACCCAUGGGCCAACUGUUCCCAUAAGAGAAAAUGGCAAGGAGGACAGACAACUUCAGCAACAGAGAAAAUGCCAACUAACUGAUCCUCAUAGGAAGUUCUGGGGACUUCUACAUGUAGGUAAGGCCUCUAUGGAAUUAUAAGAUAAAACUUGGAUAGUGCUGCUGCACUGAGCAAGUGCCAGCUACCUGCCCCAUGUCCUGCAUUAUCUAGGAGAUGGCGACUUGUAUUGCAUGAACCCAACCCUCCAAAUUUUAGAUCCUGGAACUAGGUACAGCUGUUUUUUGAAACCAAAGAGCAGAAAAGAAAAAAAAAAAAACCCACACAAGUCCCAG
rnacentral:lncRNA from 1 species